rnacentral:lncRNA from 1 species
AUAUGUAUUAAGGGAUCCAUUUUGACUAAAAAGGAUAUGUUGUAAGAACUCUCUUACAUGAUUAAUUGAAACACAUGUAUUAAAUACAUUCAAAAAUAUUAGCAUUUAGUUUUAUCUUUAUUAUAUGUGUGUGUGUGUGUAGAUUCCAUUUGAGUUUUAACCUUGGAGUUUGCUUUAUUAAGCCCAUCCACAGGUACUGGCUAUCAGAUAUAAAAUAUAAACCAGAACUGGAUAGUUUUGCUGAUGAUAUAUCUGAAAUCUGUAAAUAUCAAAUAAAUAUUAAUAAGGAAAAUGGAGCAAGCAAUUUGUUCUUUUACAUUAUAUAGUUAAUUGCUCACCCUUUUCACCUUGUUAAUGUAUAUACAUACAUAGCAUAUACAGGCUUGUAAUGAAAAUAUGAAGGAAAUGAUUAUCAAUCAAUAAAGUUUAUUAAUCCAAAUACAAAAUAUAUUUCAUCCCAUACCAAAAUUAUAAAGUAAUCCUGAUAAAAUGACAUAUUACACAACUCCAGUACAAAAGUAGCUUAUGCUGCUUAGUAUGCAAUAACUGAAUAAGUGAAUGAAAGGAACAAAAGAAGCAGUUAUGCAAUAGACAUGUUUCAGAAAUGCAUGGUAUCUGUAUUACAUAACAUUAAAGCUGUUACAUAUUUCUACCAUACACCUCAUCUUUUGGUGAACUUUGCUCAUGUUGUGAUAUCAUUUUUAAACGUUACAUAAUACAGGCUCUAUGCAUUUCCAAAACAUGUGUAACACAUAACUACUUCUUCCAUUCCUUUCAUUUACUUUAUAUAUUAUCUGUGUGUGUGAGGCUCCAAUGAAGCUAUAAGGUACCCAACUAUGAGUCCACUGCAUCUUAGAGUAGAAACAGCUGUAGGCUAAUACAGUUCCUUUGUCAUCAACUAGUAGAAUGUUAUAAAAGUAACUGAAAGACUGUGAGUUUGGUGCAUAUCACUUAUCAAAUAAUAAAAUGGUAAAAUAAUAGAAAUACAUAUAUUCAUAUAUAGGAUUUUCUUUCUCCUAUUGUACUAAACCUGCACACACACACACACACACAUACAUACACACACGUGUAUAUAUAUUUAUGUAUGUGUCUGUGAAGGGAGAGAGGGAAGGAGGGAGCAUGACUACCGUAGAAGACCCAUGCUGACGGAAAAUAUGAAUAUAAAAUAAAUGAUUUAGAAUAUGUGUCUGUGUGUGUGUGUAUAUAUAUAUACAUUUUGAAUACAAAUGAAUGUUUGUAGCACUUGUUAUUAUAUUAGGAGACACUGAUGAUCAAUUCAUUGCUUCUCAGAGUUUCCUCUAAACAUGCAGUCAUUCAAGUAUCCUAGAGACAAAUGUAAACAAUUUAGUAUCAAUUUAAAUACUAUACACCCAGCUUGUGGCAACCUGAAUGACAGUGAAUGUUGGGAAACUUCAAGUAGCAAUAAUGUAGGUAGAUGUAUAUAUUUUAUUUGUAACUCUGAAAAAUGUAACAUACUUUCAUUGUUAAAACACAAAAGCAAAGAGGGAGAGACUGAAAAAGUUGCUUUCUAUAUCCAGGUAUUUUUAAUGAUAUAUGGCUUUGAAGAAAAAUAAUAGAUAUAUAGAUACCUACAUUUAUCUGUAAUUUCUUUGUCUUAACUCCUGUUAACAGAAAUACAUUGUCUUGUUUUGUUGAUAUUGGGUUGCUCCUUUAGCUCAAUUUAAAUGAAGAAAAGCUCAUGACCCUGCAAUACCUGCUGAAGAUGAGAAGAAUUCCCAACAAUGUGGUUUACUUUAGUUACCAUCAAGAGAUGGUAUCAUCAUCAUUUAAGUAACCUCUUCAGUUUCUGCUUGGGGCAAAGCAUCUCUGAUACUUAUGUCACCUAUAAUACUUGUACAGAGACAGGCUUUUCAUUCAAAUAUAUAAUUACAACACAUUUAUGCUCAUGUUUGAUUUUAAAUGGUUAUGUUCCUAAGUCCAUUGGGAUUAUGUUUUGAAACCUUCACAAUUUCAUUUUCAUAUUAAACUUGUUGAAGCAUGUAGUCUAUGCAUUUUGCAGUAAAUUGCAAACAGCCUCGGAAAUAAUUUUAUGAUUGAUAAAGCCCUCAAUGCAAGAAUUAAACUCAUACAAAGAUAAAUCCUGGUAGAGUUCAUAUCAUGGUAUAUAUAUAUGUAAUGUGUGAUAUAUCUGUGUGUAUAAUUUAGGUUCGUAUUUUUCUAUUACAUUUACAUUCUAAGAUACCUCCAACAGAAAUUCAGACCUUAAUACCAACCCAAUCCUAAUAUAAACAUAGCAAUAGGAAAUAACAUAUAUCACAGUUUACAUACAUACAAAAAGCUAACAAAUGCUUAUAUAUGCACAAUAGCUAGAACAUUUCAAUUUUUAUCCACUAAUAAAAGUCUUAAAUAAUGAAAUCUUAUAUCUAAGACAGGCCUUAUAUAAUGAGUAUCGUAAUGGAUCAGUAGACCUGGUCAUAGACCAAUACAGAAACAAAUUCAAUCACACUACAACAGAUGCAAUAAUCACUAAAAAUACACAAGCCACAUGCUAUAAGAAUCAAAUGUAUUCUGGUUUUAAAGUGUACCAAACCUAACCACCAAAUCAUUGUCAGAAUAUAUUACAAUAAUACCAGAACCUAACAAACAACAGAAUGUACUUCAGACAAUCACUGUAAUAUGCAUAGUUCAAUGUAAACAUGAAAGUUGCAAAUUUUAUUACUCAAAGUGCACAUCAGAUGCACUAGUAGAGCACACAAAACUGGUGAGAAAAACACUAGUUAACAACACAAUAAUUUGAUACAGAAUUCCACAAAAAUAUUAAUUAUCGAAAAACAUGUGAAGUUCCCUAAUAGAUAGUUAAUACAAGGGGUGGGGGGUUAUCAUUUCUUCAUAAUAUUUAGCGGGAUUAGAAGUCUGAAUUUGAGCUUAAAGAAUAAAGAAAAAGAUGCAUAAAAUAUACAUACUUCAUUUUAUUGUUGCUAACUUAAAAUUUUUUUGUCAGUGUAAAGCAGUAUUUCUUUUUAGAAAUCAUCAGCAUGGCAUAAUAUGAGACAUUAAUCAAAUAUCUCAUCUUUACUAAUAAUCAAAUAUAAGCCUAAAUUAAUCAUACAUAACCACACACAGAAACAAAAACACACACAUGCAUGUGCACGCACAUCAUGGAAUAUGCCAAUACUUACUGCUACAUAAUUUUAAAUCCAAUAU